UAGGGAAUCUUCCACAAUGGGCGAAAGCCUGAUGGAGCAACGCCGCGUGUGUGACGAAGGGUUUCGGCUCGUAAAACACUGUUGUAAGAGAAGAAUGACAUUGAGAGUAACUGUUCAAUGUGUGACGGUAUCUUACCAGAAAGGAACGGCUAAAUACGUGCC
rnacentral:rRNA from 1 species